GAGAGCCGAGGUACGCCGAAAGGUGUAUGCCCGGUUCGGGAAGGAGAGGUUGGAAACGGCCUCUUAGGUAUCCGAAACGGAUUAAACACGCCAACCUCUUACUUUCAC
rnacentral:ncRNA from 1 species